rnacentral:rRNA from 1 species
AGCAGCCGCGGUAAUUCCAGCUCCAAUAGCGUAUAUUAAAGUUGCUGCAGUUAAAAAGCUCGUAGUUGAAUUUCGGGACCAAUAUGUCGGUCGUGCCUCGGUACGUACUGGCAUCGUUGGUUUCUCCCUUCUGACGAACCAUGAUGUCAUUUAUUUGGUGUCGUGGGAAAUCAGGACUGUUACUUUGAAAAAAUUAGAGUGUUUAAAGCAGGCUCACGCUUGAAUACAUUAGCAUGGAAUAAUGAAAUAGGACGUUUGAUUCUAUUUUGUUGGUUUCUAGGAUUGACGUAAUGAUUAAUAGGGAUAGUUGGGGGCAUUAGUAUUCAAUUGUCAGAGGUGAAAUUCUUGGAUUUAUUGAAGACUAACUACUGCGAAAGCAUUUGCCAAGGAUGUUUUCAUUAAUCAAGAACGAAAGUUAGGGGAUCGAAGACGAUCAGAUACCGUCGUAGUCUUAACCAUAAACUAUGCCGACUAGGGAUCGGAUGAUGUUAAUUUUUAAUUGACCCAUUCGGCGCCUUAA